CAUAUUGCACUAAAACAUACAAAAAAAAGUCCGAGUUGCAGUUUCACAUACUGGCACAUACAGGCCAGAAACGAUUUAAAUGCCCCGACUGCUACGCUUCAUACAAUGACUUGUCAAAUCAAAUAAAACACUGGAACCUUAAACACAACCCAGAGACUAAACAAUAUGAAUGCGAUAGAUGUGGAGAAACAUUUACUUGUGCGAGAUACCUUAGGUAUCAUAAUUAUGCACACGAUGGUGUCCAUCCAUAUAAGUGUGACAUUUGUGGAAUGGAAUUUAGUAGCCCGUCAUUCUUGUCGAAGCACAGAAAAAAAAAGCACAUAACGUGACUAUGGCAAACUUUGAACAAUACCUGUUAGUAUGGUCCUCGGAGACAAACGUUUUGAGAGAAAAAAAACACCAAAAGUGGUCGGUACGUGUUCUAUUCCAAAUCUCAAGUUUCAUCAAACUAUGCAAGGCAUUUGACAAUAUUUGUCGAUGAAGCGAUGUUCUUUUGGAUUUUCAGUUUGAAUGGGCUGUUUUCAGAUUUGUAUACUUUGAUGCUAUUUAUUUAUACUGGGUUCUUUAUUUAUACUUAAUUAUAAAAACU